GCUGCUGUGGAUCAUGGUGGAUCAUCCUCUUCUUGUUGCCUGGUUCAAUAUGUGCCAUUUAAUGAGGAAGAUGUGGGUUCGACUCCCACCAGCAGCC